rnacentral:snRNA from 1 species
GAAUGUGAGGGAAUCUGGCUGCAACAUCUGUCAACCCACUGGCUGCCAGAGACAAUUCGGCUGGCUAGACUGUGGCAUCUCUUUCUCCCUCACCUCCCCAUGGGCUUUCUUCCAGAAGCUUGGCACUCUGAGGAAGAGGACGGCCUUACUCUAAGAGACAAGGACGCUUCUUUGUUCCAGGGUAUAUGAGUAGCCUAGCUCCCCUGCUAGAAUCUCCAAAGCAGAUCUCAGGAGAAAUUUUCCUGUUUAAUUUAGAGCAGAAGUUGAAUUUAGUUAUCUGUUUCAAUAAAUCAGGUGAUGGAGAAAAUAAUU